rnacentral:rRNA from 1 species
UACAGAGGGUGCGAGCGUUGUCCGGAAUCACUGGGCGUAAAGGGCGCGUAGGCGGCCUGAUAAGUAGGGGGUGAAAUCCUGUGGCUUAACUGCAGGGCUGCCUCCUAGACUGUUAGGCUCGAGCACGGUAGAGGCAGAUGGAAUUCCCGGUGUAGUGGUGAUAUGCGUAGAUAUCGGGAGGAACACCUGUGGCGAAAGCGGCUCACUGGACCACAACUGACGCUGAGGCGCGAAAGCUAGGGGAGCAAACAGG